UACGUAGGGUGCGAGCGUUGUUCGGAAGUUACUGGGCGUAAAGGGCUCGUAGGCGGCCAACUAAGUCAGACGUGAAAUCCCUCGGCUUAACCGGGGAACUGCGUCUGAUACUGGACGGCUUGAGUUCGGGAGAGGGAUGUGGAAUUCCAGGUGUAGCGGUGAAAUGCGUAGAUAUCUGGAGGAACACCGGUGGCGAAGGCGGCAUCCUGGACCGACACUGACGCUGAGGAGCGAAAGCCAGGGGAGCAAACGGG
rnacentral:rRNA from 1 species